AACGCACGAGACCUGCGGACCUGCGGAGGGAUCAUUACUGAAUUGAUUUUGGGGAUGUUGCUGGUCUCUUGAGGCAAUGGUGCACUCCCUCAAACAUUUCACAAUUUCCAUCUUACCCAUGUGCACAUCCUGUAGGUGGUCUCCCAACCCACCCUCCAAGGAAAGGGGGGGAGUGUGUGGGUCUGGUCUCCUAUGUAUUUCCUUGCCAACAUCACACGUUUUGACUGGAUGAAUCCUGUG
rnacentral:misc_RNA from 1 species